rnacentral:lncRNA from 1 species
UAAUAAGACAUUCGAUUUGACAAUCGACUCCGUUAGGCAUUUGAUUUGCCAAUCGACUCCAUUAGACUUAGACAUGAUCUAUGUUAUUAGAAUUAUUCAGAAAUUAAAUUUUAUGAUUUUUUAAUUUUAUUUGCUUCUUUUUAAUAGCGUAGAUCGUUUCUAACGGAAGUUGAUCGUCGAAUCGGAUGUCCCAUCAUAAAAAACAACUAACAAGUACAGAGGCCUCUGUACUUUCAAAAGCUUAGAAGACGUACUCUCUCUCUCUCUCUCUCUCUCUCUCUCUCUCUCUCUCUCUCUCUAUAUAUAUAUAUAUAUAUAUAUAUAUAUAUAUAUAUAUAUAUAUCCAAUAUUAAUUUAGUCAUUUAUUUUUCUUUCUAACAUUCACUUAGGUCGCGAGUACCAUUGUUGUUUCUUUUGCACGCGGACUCCAUCUGGUACCAUUUGAGGCAACAAGCGAGUUCAUGCACCGAAAUCAUACGGCAAGGUAGUUCGGGGUAUACAUUUAGGUUGAUAGGAGCCUACCAAUUACUCAGGUAGAUAGGAGUAGAUAUGUCUAAACAGCUAAUUAAUUAAGUUACUGCUACCAAUUAGUAUCCGAGAUUCAAAGUUCGAAUUUUAGUUGAUUUAUAUUUUCAGCUAAGUUUAUUUCUAAAUGAAAUAAAUAAAACGAUUAGUAUGCUAUUUAUCUCUAAAAAAAAAAGUUACUGUAAGUUAGUUUCAAUAUCAUUAUUAUGCAGGAGCUCUCUCCAAGAUAUUUUGAGAAAUACUUUUGAGUUAUUGCUAUUUAAAAGAAUAUCUAUUUAUAUUCGUGGGUAGCAUUCUAUUUAUCUUUAAAAAAAAAAAAAUACUGUUGGUUAGUUUCAAUAUCAUUAUUUUGCAGGAGCCCACUCUCCAAGAUAUUUUGAGAAAUAUUUUGAGUUAUUGCUAUUUAAGAGAGUAUCUAUUUAUAUUCGUCCUGAAUAGACGAGGGUAGAAUACGAGCUGAAAUUGAUUAGAUUUGUUGGACGGAAUGAAAUUAAUGUGGCUGUUUAGAAUUUAGAUAAAUUUUUAAUAAUAUAGUUUGAUGAGAAUAAAUAUAACGUUACUAGUGAAAAGAGAAAAAAAAAAAAGGACAAAAUUUACGUCAGUGUCAUGUACAGAGUGUGAGUUGCUGAAUCACAUUGCAGAGAUUUUUCUUAUAUCGCAGAGAGAUGUCGACGUUAAAGUCGACACAAACAUCUAAAACCUAGGCGUAUUCUCUUGAAAUAAUAAUAAAAAAAUCAUUUAAAUCUAAAUUAUAUUUAUCCAACAUAAAUGCUGCAUAUUUUUCCAAUAUCAUUUUGAAAAACUUAGAAACUUGAGUAUCUGUGCAUCCAAAAAUCUUAUUUUAUGAUUUUGUUGCCUCCAGUAGACAUUGAACUCAUUGAAAUCAGAUAAUAGCUUUGCCAUUCCAUUUUGUAGCUUAGGAGUGUUUUUUUCCUUUCUUUUCCUUUUUUUUUUCU